UGUAAUUCCGUGCAUUUCAUGGGGAAGAUGGGACUAUUACUGCAGUUAAUAGAUGAUAACUUAUCAGCGAGAGGAUUGAUGGGGAAGAACUUUGUAAACACUUGGAAGGAAGAAGGAGGGCGAGUUCCAGGAGAGACUGUCGAUUGCUAAGCACCGUAAAUCGGAAGAGGACCUUCUGGGAAGCAGCCCGACUGAACAACCAAUUCUUCCUGCUGCUCACCUGUGCCAGGACCAAGAUGGACGAAAAACAGCCGUGAAGCGUCACCUGGAGAAGGUGAAGCGGGAACGGACUUACGUCAUGCAGUCCAAGAGGGAAAGGAACACCUUGAGGUUCAAGGAGCUCCUCAACCCAUUGGUGACCCACAGCGAGGAGAGUCCAGAGCCAGGACUUUUGGAGGACGCUUGAAGGAGGACCCUCCCAAACAUAUGCUACCUGAGAUGGGAACCAACUGGAGAAGGGAACUGGUUUUGUUGCCUCAGAGACUCAAGAACAUUGGUCCUAGAGGCCAUUAGUCCACCUCUAGCCUGUGAUGGAAACAUCCCAGAGGGAAGACUCUCCAUCUUCUCUUUAAAAGCCCCCAAUGAAGGAGAAUCCACCACCAUUUCCCCUGUCAAACAUCACGUCAUAAGACUCUCAUGUUGAGUCUCCAAUCAAGACACAGCAGGUAGAUUUGGUCUAGUGCAAUAGAGCUGCCACCGUGAAAACCGUGCCUUUAAAGGUUGUAUAGAAAAGGAAUUUCACCCAUGUUGCUUUUGUUACCUGGUUGCAGGACAAACACCAGCAGCAGAAGUUCCAUUUUCUACACAAUCAUUAAAGGUCACCUCUAUCUCGACCAG
rnacentral:lncRNA from 11 species